CCUACGGGUGGCUGCAGUCGAGAAUCAUUCACAAUGGGGGAAACCCUGAUGGUGCGACGCCGCGUGGGGGAAUGAAGGUCUUCGGAUUGUAAACCCCUGUCAUGUGGGAGCAAAUUAAAAAGAUAGUACCACAAGAGGAAGAGACGGCUAACUCUGUGCCAGCAGCCGCGGUAAUACAGAGGUCUCAAGCGUUGUUCGGAAUCACUGGGCGUAAGGCGUGCGUAGGCUGUUUCGUAAGUCGUGUGUGAAAGGCGCGGGCUCAACCCGCGGACGGCACAUGAUACUGCGAGACUAGAGUAAUGUAGGGGGAACCGGAAUUCUCGGUGUAGCAGUGAAAUGCGUAGAUAUCGAGAGGAACACUCGUGGCGAAGGCGGGUUCCUGGACAUUAACUGACGCUGAGGCACGAAGGCCAGGGGAGCGAAAGGGAUUAGAUACCCGGGUAGUC
rnacentral:rRNA from 1 species